rnacentral:tRNA from 1 species
CACCCCAUAGCUCAGCUGGAUAGAGCAGUAGCCUUCUAAGCUAUUGGUCGGGGGUUCGAAUCCUCCUGGCGCGCC